AACGAACGCUGGCGGCAGGCCUAACACAUGCAAGUCGAGCGCCCCGCAAGGGGAGCGGCGGACGGGUGAGUAACACGUGGGAAUUUUCCUCAAGGUACGGAACAACUCAGGGAAACUUGGGCUAAUACCGUAUGAUGCAGAGAUGCCAAAGAUUUAUCGCCUUGGGAUAAGCCCGCGUCAGAUUAGGUAGUUGGUGGGGUAAUGGCCUACCAAGCCUGUGAUCUGUAGCUGGUCUGAGAGGACGAUCAGCCACAUUGGGACUGAGACACGGCCCAGACUCCUACGGGAGGCAGCAGUGGGGAAUCUUGCGCAAUGGGCGAAAGCCUGACGCAGCGACGCCGCGUGGAGGAUGACGGUUUUCGGAUUGUAAACUCCUGUUAAGCGGGAAGAAAGCCUUGUUUCUAAUACAAGCAAGGUAUGACGGUACCGCUAGAGAAAGCACCGGCUAACUUCGUG
rnacentral:rRNA from 1 species